UACGUAGGUGACAAGCGUUGUCCGGAUUUACUGGGCGUAAAGAGCGCGCAGGCGGUCGAUCAAGUCGAGUGUGAAAGCCCCCGGCUCAACUGGGGAGGGUCAUUCGAUACUGAUCGACUCGAAGGCAGGAGAGGGUAGUGGAAUUCCCGGUGUAGUGGUGGAAUGCGUAGAUAUCGGGAGGAACACCAGUGGCGAAGGCGGUUGCCUGGAGCUUUGCUGACGCUGAGGCGCGAAAGCGUGGGGAGCGAGCCGG
rnacentral:rRNA from 1 species